rnacentral:pre_miRNA from 1 species
UAAACGAGACCGCGUCCGGUGCUCUGAUUGGUUACUUUAUACAUGCAAUGAUAUAGGCCAAUCUGAACCCUGUAUGAGCUCUCGUUUA